rnacentral:sRNA from 2 species
CAAUCUGGCCUUCUCUUUGGGGAGUAGCCUGCUUCCGCCUCGCGCGGAAGGGUUGCGUCAACAUACUUGGCUAACCAGCCAUGGCGUAACCGGCCGCAAGGCAUGGCGAGACCAUAGAUACGUGCAUGCGCCACCGGGCCGCAUGCACGUAUCCAUGCGUCGCCCGGCCGGAAU